GCCAAAGAGACAACAACCCGAACAUAGAAAAAAGCAACAGCAGAAGGUCACCAACAGGUCUUCAAUGUAGCGAGAAAUUCCCGCACCCGGAGGCGUCCUUCAGCUGGCCCCUAAACAAAUAUAUACUAGUUCAGUGAUAAUGAACGCCAUACUAAUUUCCAAAUUGUACACAAGAAACUAAAAUUAAAAUAAUACAAGAAUAACAAAGGCCAGAGGCUCCUGACUUGGGACAGGCGCAAAAAUGCGGCGGGUUAAACAUGUUUGUGAGAUCUCAACCCUCACCCUAUACCUCUAGCCAAUGUAGAAAAGUAAACGCAUAA
rnacentral:lncRNA from 1 species